AGCAGCCGCGGUAAUUCCAGCUCCAAUAGCGUAUAUUAAAGUUGUUGCAGUUAAAAAGCUCGUAGUUGAAUUUUAGGCCUGGCCAGGCGGUCCGUCUUUGGCGAGUACUGUUCUGUGUCGGGUCUUACCUUCUGGUAAACCGGCAUGUUCUUUUAUUGUGUGUGCCGUGGGAACCAGACCAUUACCUUGAAAAAAUUAGAGUGUUUAAAGCGGGCUUUUGCUUGAAUAGAUUAGCAUGGAAUAAUAAAAUAGGACGUUGGUUCUAUUUUGUUGGUCUAGGACCACCGUAAUGAUUAAUAGGGAUAGUUGGGGGCAUUAGUAUUCAAUUGUCAGAGGUGAAAUUCUUGGAUUUAUUGAAGACUAACUAUUGCGAAAGCAUUUGCCAAGGAUGUUUU
rnacentral:rRNA from 1 species